UUGGCUUAUAUAGUGUGACUUCCUUCUCUGCCUAUUGAUUCAGGGUCAUGAAGAUCUCGAAAUGGUCAAGGGGCAGUUUCAACUUCCAAUUCCUAAGAUGAAUUACUGCAUUCUCUGGUGGAGCUGUUCCUCUCCGAGACACAGGGAGCUCCAAACUGCCAAGUUCAAGAUCGGGCACAGGUGGCAGCAAACACUCUUCCAGCGAGAGGCCACUCCUCUUCAUUUUUUGGUUCCCAACCUGCUCAUUCUGUCUACAGGAAGACCACACACUUGGUCAUUAGUAUAAAGCGUAUAUUGCAUCCUGGCCAGGAGCAAGUCAUUAACGGCUUCUUAAAUGGAUAGAAGUUGUUCACAGGAAAGAAUAUGAGUUCACUCUGCCACCACCACCUGCUGCCAUGAGCCCAAAGAAGUGGGAGGAGAGAGUUUUCUGGAGCCCAGAAGACAGUUAGCUGCCUCAAAAGGUGAAAGGGCACAGCCAGACUGCAGCAUCCUACAGGGAGGAAUCUAGAGGGUAAGAGACCCUGCUGACCUUGUGCCUACAGGCCAGCCCCCUGCAGCCCAAAGAGGUGGAUGGGGGUAAAGACUUGACCUGGGUGGGCAGAUGAAAGACACCGGUGCAGCCACUUUUCCCCAAAGGGAGUCAGGAGCAGACAGCUUUAGUCCUUCCAGGCCUUGAAGAAGGAGAGGUUUGCCCAGGAGCCGAUCACAGGGGGCACCUCGGGAGAAAGGAGCGACACAAGCAGAUGUGCAGAGACCAGAGUGCGGCAGGUACAUCCAGAUGUUGGCUGCGUGCCUAGAAAGGAGGUCAGGGUCAACACACACCGCUCGUGCGCUGGCCUGGGCCCCAAUCUCCACUCAUCUGGAAGACGCUGUUUCUGGAGUCUGUCCAUCUUUCUGGCUUGGGACCUCGCGCACUGGGCAUCCAGAGACCUCAGGAAACACUGCUCACUGCGGCCCACACAGUGAGGGCCCCACACAUUCUACCCCGCUGUCUGCCAGGAUCCACAGCCUUCCGGCCCUGCUGUCACCAGGGCUCAUCUGACCAACUCUGUCUUUAACUAGUUUGUCCUUAGUGCCCAGCCCUGCGAUCAGAAAUGGCCUCCAUGCCUGAUGGGGCCGUGGUCUGCUGUCCGCUUCCAGAGAGAAAGUCCCGUGGCAAUAACAGCCCUGAUAGAAGAAAGUGCAAGGUGCACACGGAGCUUAGAAGAGGGGACCAACUGCGUGGGCAGAGGCAAGGAGGGCUCCAGGGGAGGUGUCACCGGCCAGGUCUUGGGUGUCCAUAGCAGUCCUCCAGGCGGGUAGGAGAGGAAGGCAUUGGAAGCAGUGGGACCAGCAUAGACAAGUGUCUGGAGACGUGGGAGCGUGAGAGCAGCAGCCUUCCUGUGGCUGGGGGACACGGCAGGGGAUGAGGCUGGAGGGACAGAAUGAAAAAGGGUCUCAAAUACCAGGUUCAGUAGUUUAAAUUUUGCCCUGAAGACAAGGGGCUGGGAUGGGGGUGGGGGAGGCACACAGAAUACAUUUUCAAGACCUUACCAUUGAGAGUACGUUUGCACUUUCAAGAUGUUACUAUCGUUGUGCCUAUUUUACGGGAUUUGGGAAAGGUAUGUAACUUGUACAAAGUGACCUGGCUUAUGCAAGACGCAUCCAUACAUGCUAUAAGCAUAUGAUCUCUGAAUUCUUGGGGAGACGAGCACAGUGCCGUGUGGCACUCUAAUUAUCUACUGCUGGGAAACACCCUUGCACUUAAAGUCUUACCAUGACAACAGCCACUUAUGUUGCUCGUGAAUCUGCAAUUCGGGCAGAGGCCGGCAGGGAGGGUUUGUGUCUGUGGCACGCAGCAUCGGCCAGGCAGCUUGCCUGAAACAAGUUAUAAGGGUGGCGGCAUGUCUAGGACCAGGAGGCAGUUCCCGGGAAGGCUGGCAAGGUCUCCACUGGUCUCCCAGGGUCUGGUGGAGACUGAGUCACAAGCAGAGGGCUUGUCGCCUGGCAUCAGGGUUGAUACCAGGAGGUGGCCUGGUGCUUCUUCAUCUUGGGAGGGAGUGCUCUCUACAGGAGCGCUAGGGUCCAUUCCAUCUGUUCCCCCUGGAGAAAUGGAAGCCUUCAGCUGAGGAAGAAGCUGGAAGUGGUCUCUGUGCCUCUCACACAGGGAAGGAACGCCCUGUAGUAUCUCUACUCCUGCUUGCACACGUCCACUGGUGAACCACUCACUGUCCCUGGGCCAGCUGCCCUGAUGUGGGGCUGCUUGGCUGUUAAGUCUUCUGUCCAGCCUCCCUCCGGCCUCAGCGCCUGCGUCCCUGUUCUCCACUCUGCCCACAGAACAAUCCUGCCCCCCAUCGUCUUCAUCAGCCCCGGAGAGUCAAGAAGCAUCACCAAACGUAAAGUACCAAUAAAUAGCCAACAGUCAGGAUAAUGACAAUAGCCAACACCCAGUGCACGUUAUGUUUAGAACUGUUCUAGGUGCUUGGCGUGUGAUAAUCUAUUUAGCCAUUACACUCCUGUGAGAUAGGACAGACCUCCCCUGUCUUGUUCAUUCCUGGGUCCCCAAGACCCUGCCUGGCACUUAUCAGCUAGAUAAUAUGUGUGUGUCGUAUUGUUGUAGGUUGUAUUGUAUUGUAUCCUCGGAAUCCUUAGAGUUGUCGUGAGGACAAAGUAUACAAUGGAUGUGACAAGCAAGAAAGAGGCACACGGUGUGGGGCUUCCUCGUCUCCUGCUCUUUGUCACUGAGGCCCACGCAAAGCCAGGUGUAAAGCCUGAGCUGGGGGUGCUUCAGGGGGGCCCCUGGGAGUGAGGGUGAUGCUGCAGGACAUCAGAAAAACUGGGGUGGGCGGGUGAAUGGAAGGAUGGACGCAGAUGGAUGGAUGAAGAAAUAAGGGUUCUUUCGAAAGACCAUGUACCGGUGUGGACUCAGGCUGGUAUUUCAGUCUUUAUCCAGCAGAGGGCACCAAGGCUCCAACAAUUGGCAGAGGAGCCUUUCUUGGCCCUGCAGGAGGGCACUGUAUCCCACAGAGGGCCUGGCCCGCAUAUUGUCAGCAGCCCUGGCAGGGUGGCGACGGAGGGAAAGACAUCAGAGUCCAUAGGGGUGCAGGGCGAGGAGCAAAGGGCACAGGCUAGAGUCAGAUCCAGGAGUCCACCUCCCGUAAGGGGGACCUUGGGGAGUACCUCACACCCCGGAGAGGUUCCCUUUUGUAACAUGAUACACAAAAUCCGUGUACCUUCUAGGCUGGCCCUGAGGAUUAAAUGAGAUGCACUCUAGGGGGUGCGCAAACCUCAGAGAGAUUUGUCUGCCCUCCCUGAGGCCACCCAGCAAGUACGAGGUGGUCUCUGAGGAUCCUAAGGAGAUGUCUAUGAAAAUAGAGAGUUGUAUUAGGAUGAAAGCCGUUCUGGGGAAUAGAGACAGUUCUAGGUGAGUGUGGAAGACUUGGGGGCGGGAAGCUGCUCAGAGGCUAGGGAGAUUCUUGGAGACACUGAGGUAAGGAAGCCCACCCUGUCAUGAUGAGUAGAUACCUGAUCCCCCCUCACAGCCAGCCUAGGAGCUCCAGGUGCACCUCAUUAAUGUGGGAAAUUGAGAUUUUGUUUUAAAUGUUUGUGGGGGGAGAGAGCAAGUGGGGGAGGAGCAGAGAGAGGAGGACAAGGGAUCUGAAGUGGGCUCCACGCUGACAGCAGCAAGUCCAGCCGGACGUGGGUCUCGAACCCACGAGCCACAAGAUAAUGACCUGCGCCAAAGUCAGAUGCUCAACUGACUGAGCCACCCAGGUGCCCUGGGAAAUUAAGACUUUCAUGUGGAACUUGCCUUGCCCGUCUGCUGGCAGCUGGGUGUGCAUUUGCCAUCUCAGCGGGUAUUUCAGGAGUUUUUCCUUCGGCAUUUAUUUUAUGUAUUGUGGUCACUCCUGCUCCCUGCCAGGGAUUUAUCGCAGGGACCAGGCCUGGCUCACCCUGCCUCAGACUGGGCUUGUGUCAACAGGCCGUCCCCUGCAGAAAGCCAAGCCCGGUUCCAUACGGCUUCAAAGACAUAAACAGCAAACCAAUGCCAUGUUUCCCUGGAGCCAAUGGCCUUGCCAGGCUGAGGAAGUGUCCAGCCAGACCACAACAGCAAGGGGGCUCCCAGUGGUAAGCCGGUGCCCUAGCCUGGGCCGUGGCCUUGGUCUUGAGCAAGAAGAUGGUCCACACUUGCGGUGCUGCUAUUUCUGAAAGUGGCUUGCGCAGGACAGGCCUCCCUUUUGGGGACAGGACCCCAAGGCAGAGCAGGGAUGCUUUGUUUUCUUCUCGUAAGGCAGCAUCUAGAAGCCGCCAAGGUGCUGCGGGCCAGGGUAGAGCUGGGUGGGACCACACCCGGCCCAGGACCGACUCGGGUUUCAGGAGCCCCCGGUGCUGCUCGUCAGGGUGAGCCGCCAGCCUCCGCCACCUGAAGGGUCUGCGUCUUCCCGGGUGGCAGAACUCCCAGCCCCGGGCUCGAGCGGGAU